rnacentral:lncRNA from 1 species
GUACAAUAUACCUCCGGUGACUGUGUUUACUCCUGGUUGAACCAUGUUAGAACCAGUACUUUGGUUAAUUGUAGUAUCAGGACUUGACCUCCCCUCAUGUUCCACUUUCAUUUGAAGAUAUCUAGCCUUAUAGCUAGGAUGUAUUAGUAUAUGUUUAACUAAACUACCUGUUCCGCUAUGAUCACCCUUAUACCUAUGAACAAGUUUUUUACCACAAGUUUUACAUUUAGCCUUAUCUUUAUCUCUUAUUUGAAUAAAAAAAUACCAAACUAAUGAAGUUUCUGAACGUUUCCGAGGUUGUCUACUAAAAGUGGGAGUUUGUACGGGUGGGUGUUCUGGGUCAUUAGGAGCAGGACUAGU